rfam:Pseudozyma antarctica T-34 DNA, contig: scaffold00026.
GGCCGGUUGGCCCAAUGGUAAGGCGUCUGACUACGAAAGGUUGGUGUUCCCAAGGAGCACCAGCUAGUUAAUCAGGAGAUUCUGGGUUCGAGCCCCAGGCUGGUCA